rnacentral:rRNA from 1 species
GGAAACAGAUGCUAAUACCGCAUAAAACCGUACACCGCAUGGUGUAGGGUGAAAGAUGGUUUCGGCUAUCACUUUAGGAUGGACCCGCGGUGCAUUAGUUAGUUGGUGAGGUAAAGGCUCACCAAGACCGUGAUGCAUAGCCGACCUGAGAGGGUAAUCGGCCACACUGGGACUGAGACACGGCCCAGACUCCUACGGGGGGCAGCAGUAGGGAAUCUUCCACAAUGGACGAAAGUCUGAUGGAGCAACGCCGCGUGGAGUGAAGAAGGUUUUCGGAUCGUAAAACUCUGUUGUUGGAGAAGAAUGUAUCUGAUAGUAACUGAUCAGGUAGUGACGGUAUCCAACCAGAAAGCCACGGCUAACUACGUG